rnacentral:rRNA from 1 species
GAUGAACGCUAGCGGCAGGCUUAAUACAUGCAAGUCGAGGGGCAGCAGGGUUGUAGCAAUACAAUCGCUGGCGACCGGCAAACGGGUGCGUAACACGUACGCAACCUUCCCGUUACUGUGGCAUAGCCCAGGGAAACUUGGAUUAAUACCACAUAUUAUAUUGGUGAGGCAUCUCAUUGAUAUCAAAGCUUCGGCGGUAACGGAUGGGCGUGCGGUUGAUUAGGUAGUUGGCGGGGUAACGGCCCACCAAGCCUACGAUCAAUAGCUGAUGUGAGAGCAUGAUCAGCCACACGGGCACUGAGACACGGGCCCGACUCCUACGGGAGGCAGCAGUAAGGAAUAUUGGGCAAUGGACGAAAGUCUGACCCAGCCAUGCCGCGUGAAGGAUUAAGGUCCUCUGGAUUGUAAACUUCUUUUCUCUGGGGCGAAAACCAGCUAUUCUUAGCUAUUUGACAGUACCAGAGGAAUAAGCACCGGCUAACUCCGUGCCAGCCGCCGCCGUAAGAC